ACCCGCUGAAUUUAAGCAUAUAAGUAAGUGGUGGAAAUUAAACCAAAUGGGAUUCCUUAAGUAAUUGCGAAUGAACAAGGACAUGCUUAGCUUGACAAUUGGAGCCUCUGGCUUCGACUUGUAUUUUUGAAAUGUAUUACCAACAGAGGUGCAGGUGUCAGCCUAUUGAAAGAAAGCGUCAAUGAGGGUGAGAAUCCUGUUUGUCAUGUGCAAUCCUCUGUGCACGGUGUAUGUUUGCUGAGUCACACUCCUUGGCAUUGGAAUGCAAAGUGGGUGGUAAGUUUCAUGUAAAGGUAAAUAUAGGAUUGAGACUGAUAGCACACAAGURCCAUGAGGGAAAUAUGAAAAGGACUUUGAAAAGAGAAUUAAAUGAGUUUGUAUUUGCUGAACAGAAAAUAAACAGAUUUGAUGUUGCUUGGUGAGAUUGUGGUGCUUGCUUGACAAUAGGUUUUGAUUGUGGGUGCGAUGAUUCUUGCUUUGCUUGCCAGUUUCUAUUUGUACAUUUGAUUACCCUUGCACAUGAAUGGUAAUUUUCCUGCGGGGUUUGGAUUGCAUGUGUUUGUGAUGAUUUGUGUUUUGAUUCAUGUGUCUGGUGCUUUUGUAAUUGCUCAUUUCUUGAAGCUGGGCCUACCCUACUAGAGCUUACAAGCCCUGGCACACAAUUGCUGGCAAAAUGCUUCUGCUUGACCCGUCUUGAAACACGGUCCAAGG
rnacentral:rRNA from 1 species